AAUGAAAAUUUGUUUUUCAACCAUUUUUAUAAAAAAAUUACAUAAGAAUUUUUAAAAAAGUUAAAAUUCAAUUAAAUAUUGAAUUAAUUUUAACUGUGAAGGAAAUAUUUUUUUAUCAGAAAGUAAUUUUAUGUACCUUUAGCAUAAGGGAUUUUCAAAAAAAAAUAAAUAUUUAUUUAUUUCGAAUUUAACUGAUCUAUUUUUUAAAAAAGCUUAUGUUUCAAAAUAAACUUUAAACAUUCAAUAGAAGUGAAAUUCUUAUCAAAGUUAAAGAUAUCUAAUUUUUUAUUAAAAAAUAAAAUUUUUCUUAUAAUACAAAAUAUUUAUUAAAAUUAUAAGUAAUUAUAUAAGGGAUAAGCUUUAUAUAUAAUUAUAUAUAUUAAAUAUAUAUUCUUAAUAAGAAUUAGAAUUUUUCCUAUAUUGUUAUAAAUAAUUAUAAUUUUAUAUUAAAAAGUAAUAUUUUUUAUAAAAUUAAAAACACUUUUAAAUUUUAAAAAUGAAAAUAUUAGUAAAAAACUUAAAUUUUUUAAGUAAAUUAAACUAAAUAAUUUUAUUAUAGAAAUAAUUUCUAGUAAUUCGGCAAAAAUUUUUUUUGACUGUUUAAUAAAAACAAUGUAUUUAGAUUUUUUAAUUAAAUAUAAAUCCUGCUCAAUGAAUAAUUAAAUUGCUGUAGUAUUUUGACUAUACAAAGGUAUUGUAAUAAGACUUUAAUUGAGUGCUAAAAGAAUGGAAUUUCAAAAAAAGGCUAUCUUGAAUUUCAAAAUUGAAAUUAUUUUUAUUUGUGAAGAAACAAUAAUUAAGAUUAAGGACAAGAAGACCCUAAGAAUUUUUAAAUUUAUAAAAAAGUACUUUUUUUAUAAAUUUUUAAUUGGGGCGAUUAAAAAAUAUUAUUAACUUUUAAUUACAAAAAAUGAUCCAUUAUUAAUGAUAAAAUGCAAAAAAUACUCUAGGGAUAACAGCGUAAUAAUUUUAGAUAGAUCUUAUAGAAAAAAUAGUUUGCGACCUCGAUGUUGGAUUAGGAUUCUUUUUUAAUGAAGAAGUUAAAAAAAGAAGUUUGUUCAACUUUUAAAAUCCUACAUGAUCUGAGUUUAGACCGAUGUAAAUCAGGUUGGUUUCUAUCUUAAUUUUUUUUAAAUUUUAAUUAGUACGAAAGGAAUUUUAAAAUAUAAAAUUUAUAUAAUAUAUAACAGUUUUUGCAUCAAUUUUUGGAAUU
rnacentral:rRNA from 1 species